UACGGAGGGUGCAAGCGUUAAUCGGAAUUACUGGGCGUAAAGCGCACGCAGGCGGUCUGUCAAGUCGGAUGUGAAAUCCCCGGGCUCAACCUGGGAACUGCAUUCGAAACUGGCAGGCUAGAGUCUUGUAGAGGGGGGUAGAAUUCCAGGUGUAGCGGUGAAAUGCGUAGAGAUCUGGAGGAAUACCGGUGGCGAAGGCGGCCCCCUGGACAAAGACUGACGCUCAGGUGCGAAAGCGUGGGGAGCAAACAGGAUUAGAU
rnacentral:rRNA from 1 species